rnacentral:rRNA from 1 species
CCUACGGGUGGCAGCAGUGGGGAAUAUUGGGCAAUGGGCGCAAGCCUGACCCAGCAACGCCGCGUGAAGGAAGAAGGCUUUCGGGUUGUAAACUUCUUUUCUCAGGGACGAAGCAAGUGACGGUACCUGAGGAAUAAGCCACGGCUAACUACGUGCCAGCAGCCGCGGUAAUACGUAGGUGGCAAGCGUUAUCCGGAUUUACUGGGUGUAAAGGGCGUGUAGGCGGGACUGCAAGUCAGAUGUGAAAACCACGGGCUCAACCUGUGGCCUGCAUUUGAAACUGGCAGUCUCGAGUUGGAGAGAAGUAUGCGGAAUGCGCGGUGUAGCGGUGAAAUGCAUAGAUAUCGCGCAGAACUCCGAUUGCGAAGGCAGCAUGCCGGCUCCACACUGACGCUGAGGCACGAAAGCGUGGGUAUCGAACAGGAUUAGAUACCCGAGUAGUC